rnacentral:tRNA from 1 species
GAGGAUAUAGCUCAGUGGUAGAGCACAUGCUUAGCAUGCAUGAGGCCCCAGGUUCAAUCCUUAAUACCUCCA